rnacentral:rRNA from 1 species
GAUGAACGCUAGCGGCAGGCCUAACACAUGCAAGUCGAGGGGUAGAGGAAGCUUGCUUCCUUGAGACCGGCGCACGGGUGCGUAACGCGUAUGCAAUCUACCUUAUACAGAGGGAUAGCCCAGAGAAAUUUGGAUUAAUACCUCAUAGUAUUAUGAACUCGCAUGGUUUUAUAAUUAAAGUUCCAAAGGUAUAAGAUGAGCAUGCGUCCCAUUAGUUAGUUGGUAAGGUAACGGCUUACCAAGACAAUGAUGGGUAGGGGUCCUGAGAGGGAGAUCCCCCACACUGGUACUGAGACACGGACCAGACUCCUACGGGAGGCAGCAGUGAGGAAUAUUGGUCAAUGGACGCAAGUCUGAACCAGCCAUGCCGCGUGCAGGAUGACGGUCCUAUGGAUUGUAAACUGCUUUUAUACAGGAAGAAACACUCCCUCGUGAGGGAACUUGACGGUACUGUAGGAAUAAGGAUCGGCUAACUCCGUGCCAGCAGCCGCCGUAAUAC